UACGUAGGGGGCAAGCGUUGUCCGGAUUUAUUGGGCGUAAAGAGCGUGUAGGCGGCCAGGCAGGUCUGCUGUGAAAACUCGAGGCUUAACCUCGAGCUGUCGGCGGAAACCAUCUGGCUAGAGUCCGGAAGAGGAGAAUGGAAUUCCCGGUGUAGCGGUGAAAUGCGCAGAUAUCGGGAAGAACACCCGUGGCGAAGGCGGUUCUCUGGGACGGUACUGACGCUGAGACGCGAAAGCGUGGGGAGCGAACAGG
rnacentral:rRNA from 1 species